rnacentral:lncRNA from 1 species
UUUACAGCCUUUCCUGGAAUAGAGCUCCUCCAUCUGCAGUACUGCUUGGGAGUGCCUUGUGGUCUCUCCCUUCAAAAUCCAGCCUUAAAUUCCCCUCCUCCAGGAAGCAUACCUUGACUUAACCAAACCUCCCUGGUUGAAUUUUUUGAAUGACUAAACCUGAAUUAGGCUGAUGAACUGGUCAGCACCCUUUGAGAAGCAGGUUUGUUGGGCUGUGAGGAAGGGCUCUGGCCCCAGCAUUUCCUCUCCAGUCUACCCAUCCUCUUUUUGGACAACCUGAUGUACACGUUAGGACUCCUAGGACAUCAAGUGGUAACUCAUCAUUAUCACCAUCACACAGCAGCUGGAACCAGCAGCCUCACCAGGCCUUUCUCCUUUAAUAAUGACAAACAUGGUGUGCAGUCUGGGCCACUUAAUCCUGUUCUGCAGAUGGGGACUCUGAGACAUAAAGAGGUAAAGAUCAUGCAGGUGACAAAGCUAGCUGAAGAUUAGUAUUAUGAGAUAUGAGAAUAGUAACUGAAGGGUUGAUUUGUAAAUGUGAAAAAUUGGAAAUCAGCCUUGAUUUCCAACAAUAGGGUAUUGAUGUGUAAUACAACCACACAGUAGGGUAUUGUAUAGCGACUAAGAAUGAUACAGCAGUAUUUGUUGACCUGGGAACAUUUUUCACAAUAUGCUUUAAAAAAAGAUAGAUAAGUGCUUAUUAAUAAUAUAGGUACAGGGACUCAAGUCAAAGUGGGGAUAUAUUCUAAACUCUGGCGACCAAUUUCCUAAACCAUGUAGUUUUUGCUAUAGAAAACAUCUAGCUGUGGGUCUACUUGUAAUACUCAGUAUAUUACCUUAUUUCAUAUGCCAUUUAUUUUUUCUUUAUGAAAAUGGUGUCAUUCAUCUUUAUUAAUGUAGUUGAAAUUCAUAAACUUUCUGUGUGAAUCAUUUAAUCAAGAAAAAUGUGUUACGGGGAUAGAUUUUAUAUAAAUGAGAAUGAAAUGAAAUGUUUCAUUAAAAUAUGUAAAAGUUGCCCAGUAUAUCUUAAGGAGAAAUCGUAUGUGUAUAAUAUUAUUGUAUUUUUGUAAGAUAAAACAAAUGUUGUAAGACCUUAAAAAUAUUGUUAGGAGAAAAAAAUACACGUAUGCAUAGAAAAAUGUCUAGAAGGAUAAAUGCUAAAAUGUUCAUCCUGGACCUCUGCAAGAUGGGGCUAUGGGUGAUUUUUUACCCCUUCCUUUAUUGUUCACCUGUAUUUUCUAAUUUUUCAAUAACGUUCAUGUGUUACUUAUUUAGAAAAGACAGGAGAUGAAUGUUUAAAGUGAUGGAUAUGGUAAUUACCCUGACUUGAUCAUGAUACAAUGUAUAUAUGCAUUGAAACAUCACACUGUACCCCAUAAACAUGUAUGGCUAUUAUGUAUUAGUUAUAAAUAAAAUAUUAAUAAGAAAUAAAAAGAUAAGGGGGGUACUGGGCUGGGAGUAAGGAGACUGCAUUCUGACAGCAACUCUGCCUCUAACUGACUGUGUGAUCCUGGGCAAGUCCUUUCCUUUCUGGUUUUCGAGUCUUCAUCUGUAACACGA